rnacentral:rRNA from 1 species
UACGAAGGGUGCAAGCGUUACUCGGAAUUACUGGGCGUAAAGCGCGCGUAGGCGGAACGAUCAGUCCGGUCUGAAAGCCCCCGGCUCAACCGGGGAGGGCGGCUGGAAACUGUCGUUCUUGAGGGCGAGAGAGGAGGGUGGAAUUCCUGGUGUAGCGGUGAAAUGCGUAGAGAUCAGGAGGAACACCCGUGGCGAAGGCGGCCCUCUGGCUCGACCCUGACGCUGAGGCGCGAAAGCGUGGGGAGCGAACGGG